ensembl:lncRNA
UUUUCUUGUUGCUUUUAUUUUUCCUUUUUUUCUUUCUUUUUCCUUUGUUUCCUUUUUCUUUCCUUUUUUCUUUUCCUUUUUUCUUCUUUUCCUUUUCCUUUCUCUUAUUUUUUCCUUUUUCCUUUUCUUUUUUUAAUUCUUCUUUUCCUUCCUCUUUUUUUCUCUUUCUUUUUUUUCCACUUUUCUUCUCUUUCUUUUCCACUUUCUCUUCCUUUUUUCUUUCUCUUUUACUUUUUCUUGGCUUUUGUGGCACUCACUUUCCUUUGCCAGAGAAAUACCCUGGAAACCAAGUGCCCAUGCACAUACCCGGUCCAAAUCAGUGUCUGGCAUCGCUGGAGUCACUGGCAGGUAAACAGAUUUAUCUUAGAAGAGAAAACAUCAUAAUGAUGUUGGGUUAUACUCAUCGCCUUCCUUCAGAGACAGAAAGGCUGAACACUGAAAUUGGUGUGAUUUAACCUUUUACAGAAUUCAGCUGAUUUUCAUACCUGUGCAGCACGUAUGUCCUAAAUUAUUGGGAAAGAUUAGGAAAGCCUGAAAACAAUUGUGGAGCCUUUGAGCUGAUGAUACCCUCCAACCCCCAGCUCUUCAUGAACAUCCCCAUUUAAAAUGGAACAUUUUCUAACUGGCGAGUUAGAAUGAAAGUGGUUUCUGGAGACCACCACGUAGACUCCCA